UCCUCAGCCAGCCUCUUGUGAUGACUCUUGUUCUCUUGAUAAGCAGCUGCUAUGAAGAGCUUAUCCGACCCUCUAAGAAGUUGACUGAAGAGGCUGAGCUGCGU